CUACGGGGCGCUGCAGCUAAGAAUAUUCCGCAAUGGACGAAAGUCUGACGGAGCGACGCCGCGUGGAUGAGGAAGGCCGAAAGGUUGUAAAGUCCUUUUGUCGAUGAAGAAUAAGUGUGGGAGGGAACGCCCGCAUGAUGACGUUAGUCGGCGAAUAAGCCCCGGCUAAUUACGUGCCAGCAGCCGCGGUAACACGUAAGGGGCAAGCGUUGUUCGGAAUUAUUGGGCGUAAAGGGUACGUAGGCGGUUUUGUAAGCCCGGCGUGAAAUCCUGCAGCUUAACUGUAGAGCUGCGCUGGGAACUGCGAAACUCGAGUCAUGGAAGGGAAGUUAGAAUUCCAGGUGUAGGGGUGAAAUCUGUAGAUAUCUGGAAGAAUACCGGUGGCGAAGGCGAACUUCUGGCCAAGACUGACGCUGAGGUACGAAAGUGCGGGGAGCAAACAGGAUUAGAUACCCGAGUAGUC
rnacentral:rRNA from 1 species